rnacentral:misc_RNA from 1 species
CCUACGGGUGGCAGCAGUGGGGAAUAUUGGACAAUGGGCGCAAGCCUGAUCCAGCCAUGCCGCGUGAGUGAUGAAGGCCUUAGGGUUGUAAAGCUCUUUCACCGAUGAAGAUAAUGACGGUAGUCGGAGAAGAAGCCCCGGCUAACUUCGUGCCAGCAGCCGCGGUAAUACGAAGGGGGCUAGCGUUGUUCGGAAUUACUGGGCGUAAAGCGCACGUAGGCGGAUAUUUAAGUCAGGGGUGAAAUCCCAGAGCUCAACUCUGGAACUGCCUUUGAUACUGGGUAUCUUGAGUAUGGAAGAGGUUAGUGGAAUUGCGAGUGUAGAGGUGAAAUUCGUAGAUAUUCGCAGGAACACCAGUGGCGAAGGCGGCUAACUGGUCCAUAACUGACGCUGAGGUGCGAAAGCGUGGGGAGCAAACAGGAUUAGAUACCCCGGUAGUC